rnacentral:rRNA from 1 species
UACGUAGGCAGCGAGCGUUGUUCGGAGUUACUGGGCGUAAAGGGUGUGUAGGCGGUUAUUUAAGUUUGGUGUGAAAGCCCCCGGCUCAACCGGGGAGGGUCGUCGGGGACCGCACCGCUUGAGGGCGGUAGGGGCUGGUGGAAUGCCUGGUGUAGUGGUGAAAUGCGUAGAGAUCAGGCGGAACACCCGUGGCGAAGGCGGCCAGCUGGGCCGUCCCUGACGCUGAGGCGCGAAGGCGUGGGGAGCGAACGGG